GCUCCAUUCGUUAAAUAUGUUGAAUGGUUAGUCGACACCUAGCCCAUGUAAUGGUUAUUCAAUAAAUACAAGGAAUAACUUAUAAUUUUUUCAUUCCUAGCAUACCCCUCACAAAAUCACAAAUUUACGAGCUUCUAUUAGGCAAAAACCUGGGACGUUCUUCUUUCACCAUUUUCUUCCAAACUUUCACUUUUCAUCCUGAGGGAAAGAAAGCUUAGAACAUCGAAUUCGUCUCCAGGUGAAGCAGUAUAACUAGCAUGAUGUGGAGUCAGGGAAACUGAUUACUAUAUUUAGUGCUUCAGACUACCCACAAUUUCGAGCAUCUUCAUGAUAUUCAUUACUUUAUUUGUUGUCCUUCAAGAUUUAAAUGUUUGGUUUCUGCUUUGAUCUUGACAACAAAUGACAAAUUAUGUACAUGUUUUGGCUUAAGUUUCAUCCACAACAUCCUUUUGAAUAUUUUCUAUGGAUAUGUACCUAGAUUUUAUAUUACUGUUACUUUUUUGUGGUUAUGUGGAUGUCUUUUGAUAUCACUGAAGUGUUUUAGGAGGUUUGAAUACCUUUCAUAAUGGAAAUAAAAAGUUGUUUUGUUUCUUGGA